rnacentral:tRNA from 1 species
GAGGGUAUAGCUCAGUGGUAAGAGUGUGUGCUUAGCAUGCACGAGGUCCUGGGUUCAAUCCCCAGUACCUCCU